AUGUGAGCUAAUUGCCAAAUUACAACCUUCUGAUUGUGAUCUGGUGUUCUUUACAAGUCUAACUACAGAGAAUGAAUGGCUGAUCCUACAGACUUCAACAAUUUUCUGUCCUCAGACAGUGAUUUAUCAUAAUGAAUUAAUAAAAUG
rnacentral:antisense_RNA from 1 species